GUCAAUAGAACACAUCUUUAAAGCCAAUCGCAACAAAGGACUCUUCCGAAGACCAGCGCCAUUGUUUUCUUGGUAGAUGAGGGAAGUUCACAUGUGACAAUCACUCGGGGGGUAGUUCACUUGCUCUAAUGAUCCUGAGGCAAUGGUUCCAGUCGAGGUUGAAGCAAGUUCUUUAAGGAGAGACAACUUCGAGCAGGAGGCAAAUGGAGUUAAUCAGAGGCUUCACCCCGAUAUGGUGGAAGAAGUCAGAAGAGAGUCACAAAUCAGGAAGGCGGCAUAUCAACA
rnacentral:lncRNA from 1 species